rnacentral:lncRNA from 1 species
UACUUUUGGUUCUUUGAAGAAUUCCUAAGUAUUUUUCUUAGUUAUUUCUUUGAGAUUCAAUUUGACUUAUCAUACAACAAUUCAUAGUUGUGUGUGGUGUCUUCUACCGCAUCAAUCGUCGAUUGUACCGAGAUUACCGCUUCAAUAUAAGCGAGGGGUCAAGGUGUCGUUGGUGUCCAUUCAACGCAGAAUUCCGAACGCGAGCAAUUGUACCAAGAUUACCGUCUACAUAUAGGCGAGGGGUUAAGGUGUUGCAAGCAAUUCACCCAACAAUUGUGCUAGAAACGAUCGGGGCGGCGACCACCUCACGCAAGCGUGCCGUGGAGUCUAUUAUUUGGUAUCAAAGCUAAGCCUUUCUAGCAAGUUACUUAUCUUUAAUUUUCUGUCGAAAUAUAUAUUGUAAAAAAAAAAGAACGAAAAAAGAAAAAAAUAAAAAUAAAAAUAAAAAUUUCAUAUUCUAUUUUCAUUGUGCUAACCAAACUUGUAGCACACCAUCAAAUCAUCAAAUUCCAACAAAGAUUUCAUAUUGUUCCAUCAUCAUCAGUUUUGAAACGGAGCUACAAUUUAC